rnacentral:rRNA from 1 species
UAUGUGAUCGUCUCUCGCAUAUCAAUAAGCGGAGGAAAAGAAACUAACAAGGAUUCCCCUAGUAACGGCGAGUGAAGCGGGAAGAGCUCAAAUUUGAAAUCUUAAAGGGUUUCCCUUUACGAAUUGUAGUUUAAAGAAGUGUUUUCUGUUGAGGUUUUGGUAAAAGUUCUUUGGAAUAGGACAUCAUAGAGGGUGAGAAUCCCGUAUUUGACCUUUACUUUCAACUUUGUGAUACACUUUCAAAGAGUCGGAUUGUUUGGGAAUGCAGUCCAAAAUGGGUGGUAAAUUUCAUCUAAAGCUAAAUAUUGGCGAGAGACCGAUAGCGAACAAGUACCGCGAGGGAAAGAUGAAAAGAACUUUGAAAAGAGAGUUAAACAGUACGUGAAAUUGUCAAAAGGGAAGCGUUUGACACCAGUGUUGUUUUUCUGAAAAUCAAUUAAAGAACUGUUUAUGCUAAGCUGUUUAGACUUUAUCAGCUAUCUGCUUAGUUUUGAGCUUUUCUUUAAUGCACUUUUCAGUUAACAAGUCAACAUCAAUUUCUUUUGUUGUAAAAAGGUCUUGAGGAAGGUGGCUUUGAGCUUCGUAUAAGUGUUUAUAGCCUCUUGCUUCUGCAGUCGGAGAGAUUGAGGUCUGCAGCGUAGAUCCUUCGGGGUUAAAUAGCAUUUGUGCUAAGCUAUAAUUCUUUAUAGACAACUUGUUGACUAUGAUCUAGUCCUGUAGCUUACUCGCUUAUGCUAUUUUACCUACGCUUAGGAUGUUGACGCGCGUGUGUGCGUG